rnacentral:rRNA from 1 species
CUGCGACCCCCCGUCGUGCGGCACUACCCCCUGAUUAUAUUCAUAUCAUUAAUC